GCUAUGAUUCGGAGAUCUCCUUUAUAGUUUAUUUUAUUGGCACAUGUAUGAUUGUUUGUUUUUAUAUUAUUUGUGAUUUAUUAACUUUUUUGUUUUAUAACAGAUAUAUACUUGGUUUAUGAAUAUUUUUUCAUGUGUUACUAUUUUUAAAUUUAUUUGGAUUUAAUUUUUAUUUUGUUUGUGAAAUUGGAAAAGAAAGUAAUUAACUCCCCUCGCCACCCGCCACUCGGCCA
rnacentral:rRNA from 1 species